UUGCUUGGACGCAGCGCAGCGGCGCGGAACCCCAGUGUAUCCCGAGACACAGCGCUGUGCUCUCACAGCAGCAGUUACCUUCUGCUUUCGUAGGUUUUGAAUCGUUCCACAGGUGUCCACAAGCCUUCCCAAGGCCCGCAGCCCCAAAAUCGAGCCUCAAGAUCCAAGACACAGGCGGGAG
rfam:Erinaceus europaeus cont1.405432, whole genome shotgun sequence.